rnacentral:rRNA from 1 species
UGGUGGGGCGCGGCGUACAGCUCAGUAACACGUGGCCAACCUGCCCUUGAGACGCGGACAACCCCGGGAAACUGGGGCUAAUACGCGAUAGGUGAGGAGGCCUGGAAUGGUUCUUCACUCAAAGGGCGCCGGGGGCAUGCUUCUCGGCGCUGCUCAAGGAUGGGGCCACGGCUGAUCAGGUAGUUGGUGAGGUAACGGCUCACCAAGCCUAUAACCAGUACGGGCCGUGAGAGCGGUCGCCCGGAGAUGGACACUGAGACAAGGGUCCACGCCCUACGGGGUGCAGCAAGCGCGAAACCUUCGCUAUGCGCGAGAGCGCGACGGGGCUACUCCGAGUGCCGUCCGCUGAGGAUGGCUUUUCCUCAGUCUAAACAGCUGAGGGAAUAAGGGGAGGGCAAGACUGGUGUCAGCCGCCGCGGUAAUACCAGCUCCCCGAGUGGUCGGGACGAUUAUUUGGCCUAAAGCAUCCGUAGCCGGCUCGGUAGGUGUUUCGUCAAAUCCGGCGAUCCAAUCGUCGGACUGCGAGGCAAACCCCCGGGCUGGGGGGCGGGAGAGGCCGGCGGUACUCCUGGGGAAGGGGUAAAAUCCUAUAAUCCUAGGAAGACCACCAGUGGCGAAGGCGGCCGGCUAGAACGCGCCCGACGGUGAGGGAUGAAAGCUGGGGGAGCGAACCGGAUUAGAUACCCGGGUAGUCCCAGCUGUAAACGAUACGGGCUAGGUGUUGGGCCGGCCACGAGCCGGUUCAGUGCCGAAUGGAAGCAAAUAAGCCCGUCGCCUGGGGAGUACGGCCGCAAGGCUGAAACUUAAAGGAAUUGGCGGGGGAGCACCACAAGGGGUGUAAGCUGCGGUUCAAUUGGAGUCAACGCCGGGAACCUUACCAGGGGCGACAGCAGGAUGAAGGUCAGACUGAAGGUCUUGCCGGACAAGCUGAGAGGAGGUGCAUGGCCGUCGCCAGUUCGUGCCGUGAGGUGUCCUGUCAAGUCAGGCAACGAGCGAGACCCCCGUCCUUAGUUGCUACCGGGUUCCUACGGGACCUGGGCACACUAAGGAGACCGCCACCGAUAAGGUGGAGGAGGGAGGGGGCCACGGCAGGUCAGUAUGCCCCGAAUCUCCUGGGCCACACGCGGCUUACAAUGGCAGGGACAAUGGGUUCCGACCUCGAGAGGGGGAGGUAAUCCCGAAACCCUGCCUCAGUUGGGAUCGAGGGCUGCAACCCGCCCUCGUG